GGAUAUGAGGGUGAUCUGGCUGUGGCAUUUGUCACCCCAUUAAUCACCAAAGUUGAUUGGCUGAUCUGGCUGGCUAGGUGGGUUGUCCCCUUCCUCCCUCACCGUUCCAUGUGCAUCCCUCCCAAAGCUGUGCGCUCUGUCAAAGAGGACUGCCUUCCCCGAAAGGACCAGUCUUCGGUCAAGGGUUAUACCAGUAGCUGCGCUCCCCUGCUAUAACCUCCAACCAAGCUCUCAAGGUCCACUAUAGGAGGACGUAGGGUAGUCAAGCUUCCAGACUCCAGACACAUCCACAUGAGGCGCUGCAUGUGGCAGUCUGCCUUUCUUU
rnacentral:snRNA from 1 species